rnacentral:rRNA from 1 species
UACAGAGGUCCCAAGCGUUGUUCGGAUUCAUUGGGCGUAAAGGGUGCGUAGGCGGCGCGGUAAGUCGGGUGUGAAAUCUCGGGGCUUAACUCCGAAACUGCAUUCGAUACUGCCGUGCUUGAGGACUGGAGAGGAGACUGGAAUUUACGGUGUAGCGGUGAAAUGCGUAGAUAUCCGGAGGAACACCGGUGGCGAAGGCGGCUUCCUGGACCGACACUGACGCUGAGGCGCGAAAGCUAGGGGAGCAAACGGG